GUAGAGUUUGAUCCUGGCUCAGGAUGAACGCUGGCGGCGUGCCUAAUACAUGCAAGUCGAGCGAACAGACAAGGAGCUUGCUCCUUUGACGUUAGCGGCGGACGGGUGAGUAACACGUGGGUAACCUACCUAUAAGACUGGGAUAACUUCGGGAAACCGGAGCUAAUACCGGAUAAUAUUUCGAACCGCAUGGUUCGAUAGUGAAAGAUGGUUUUGCUAUCACUUAUAGAUGGACCCGCGCCGUAUUAGCUAGUUGGUAAGGUAACGGCUUACCAAGGCGACGAUACGUAGCCGACCUGAGAGGGUGAUCGGCCACACUGGAACUGAGACACGGUCCAGACUCCUACGGGAGGCAGCAGUAGGGAAUCUUCCGCAAUGGGCGAAAGCCUGACGGAGCAACGCCGCGUGAGUGAUGAAGGUCUUCGGAUCGUAAAACUCUGUUAUUAGGGAAGAACAUACGUGUAAGUAACUAUGCACGUCUUGACGGUACCUAAUCAGAAAGCCACGGCUAACUACGUGCCAGCAGCCGCGGUAAUACGUAGGUGGCAAGCGUUAUCCGGAAUUAUUGGGCGUAAAGCGCGCGUAGGCGGUUUUUUAAGUCUGAUGUGAAAGCCCACGGCUCAACCGUGGAGGGUCAUUGGAAACUGGAAAACUUGAGUGCAGAAGAGGAAAGUGGAAUUCCAUGUGUAGCGGUGAAAUGCGCAGAGAUAUGGAGGAACACCAGUGGCGAAGGCGACUUUCUGGUCUGUAACUGACGCUGAUGUGCGAAAGCGUGGGGAUCAAACAGGAUUAGAUACCCUGGUAGUCCACGCCGUAAACGAUGAGUGCUAAGUGUUAGGGGGUUUCCGCCCCUUAGUGCUGCAGCUAACGCAUUAAGCACUCCGCCUGGGGAGUACGACCGCAAGGUUGAAACUCAAAGGAAUUGACGGGGACCCGCACAAGCGGUGGAGCAUGUGGUUUAAUUCGAAGCAACGCGAAGAACCUUACCAAAUCUUGACAUCCUUUGACAACUCUAGAGAUAGAGCCUUCCCCUUCGGGGGACAAAGUGACAGGUGGUGCAUGGUUGUCGUCAGCUCGUGUCGUGAGAUGUUGGGUUAAGUCCCGCAACGAGCGCAACCCUUAAGCUUAGUUGCCAUCAUUAAGUUGGGCACUCUAAGUUGACUGCCGGUGACAAACCGGAGGAAGGUGGGGAUGACGUCAAAUCAUCAUGCCCCUUAUGAUUUGGGCUACACACGUGCUACAAUGGACAAUACAAAGGGCAGCGAAACCGCGAGGUCAAGCAAAUCCCAUAAAGUUGUUCUCAGUUCGGAUUGUAGUCUGCAACUCGACUACAUGAAGCUGGAAUCGCUAGUAAUCGUAGAUCAGCAUGCUACGGUGAAUACGUUCCCGGGUCUUGUACACACCGCCCGUCACACCACGAGAGUUUGUAACACCCGAAGCCGGUGGAGUAACCAUUUGGAGCUAGCCGUCGAAGGUGGGACAAAUGAUUGGGGUGAAGUCGUAACAAGGUAACCCGUAG
rnacentral:rRNA from 1 species